GCGGGCGUGGCGGAACCGGUAGACGCAACGGACUUAAAAUCCGUCGGCAGAAAUGCUGUGGGGGUUCGAGUCCCCCCGCCCGCACCA
rnacentral:tRNA from 1 species